UUACCAACCUACUUCCGCAUUGAAACAUGGCGACUUGCAUUGGCAUGGUUACCGGCUUUGCACAUUGAACGUCUUAAAACCGGUUUCAAGACGCUUUACAAGGCAGGGAACGAAAGUAUUUACCCCCAGCCGCUCCACCCAUGAGAUGCGAAGUAGUCUGUACGAACAUGUCCGCGAGGAGACUGACAAAGUCAUUGCCUAUGUGAAGACUCGGAAGGAGAUCUACGGGGAGCAGAUGUCAGGGAGAUUAUUCCUUAGUUCAAGGAGGCUACGAAGGACGGUCAGGAGAUCCGCCACCGGCUGAGCCAUCUUUACCCCCGAGAGCACUAUGGAUGAGCCCUGAGGCUGCCCAACACCACACACCCCAAUGUGGUUAUUUUAUGGACCAUGCUGUUAACUGGAAGGACCUUCCUGUCAGGUCUGUGUGCAGUAGCACAUGUUACAGGGCUGAGACGGACACAGGCAGAGAGACUUGGGGCCUUUACAGAGUACAUCACUUCAACAAGGUGGAGAUGUUUGGUGUGACUGCGGAUGAGACUGGGGAGGAGAGCUCUCAGAUGCUGGAGGAGUUCCUGUCCCUGCAGAAGGAGAUCUCCUCCCUGGAGCUCCACUAUAGUUUGGAGCUAGGUCGCCCAGCACACAGGAAGUACGACAUUGAGGCGUGGAUGCCAGGGAGGGACAGCUAUGGCGAGCAGGUCUAACUGUACAGACUACCAAAGCAGAUGCCUAAAUAUCCUAUAUAAGGGGAAGGAUGGUAGCCUACACUGCGCUCAUACAGUGAGACCAGGAAGGGGCCAGUACAUUCUUUAUGUUAUGAGAUUCAGUGUUUCUGUAAUAGAUUGCACAAGAAGAGAUGAACCAUUUUCUAAGCGUUUGAAGGUUAUAAUAACCACCAUUAUUUGCGUCCUACUCCAGGUGAAUGCCACAGCGUGUGCUAUUCCUCGUACUAUCAUUGCUAUACUGGAGACUCAUCAGACCAAGGAAGGGACAGUGUGUGUGCCUCGUGCCUCGCAGCCCUACCUGGGGAUGGAGGUGAAUGAAAAGCCAAAAUGCACUCCUUUUGAAAUACAUCGGACCGAACCAGCCCAAUCGCAUGCCCCACCCUGUCCCAAAGCCCAGAUGACAUCAUGCACCAACACAGUUACAUCAAGAGAACAACUGAAGCCUUUCCAUCUACAGUUGAAGUUGGAAGUUUACAUACACCAUAGCCAAAUACAUUUAAACUCAGUUUUUCACAAUUCCUGACAUUUAAUCCUAGUAAAGAUUCCCUGUUUUAGGUCAGUUAGGACCACCACUUUAUUUUAAGAAUGUGAAAUGUCAGAAUAAUAGCAGAGAGUGAUUUAUUUCAGCUUUUAUUUCUUUCAUCACAUUCCCAGUGGGUCAGAGGUUUACAUACACUUAAUU